UGAGGAAUAUUGGUCAAUGGGCGCAAGUCUGAACCAGCCAUACCGCGUGAAGGAAGACGGCCCUACGGGUUGUAAACUUCUUUUGUACGGGAAAAAAUCUCCGGUCGUGAAUCGGAGCUGAUGGUACCGUAAGAAUAAGCAUCGGCUAACUCCGUGCCAGCAGCCGCGGUAAUACGGAGGAUGCAAGCGUUAUCCGGAUUCAUUGGGUUUAAAGGGUGCGUAGGCGGAUUGAUAAGUCAGUGGUGAAAACCUGCAGCUUAACUGUAGACUUGCCAUUGAUACUGUCAGUCUUGAGUAUGGUCAAGGUAGGCGGAAUGUGUAAUGUAGCGGUGAAAUGCUUAGAUAUUACACAGAACACCGAUUGCGUAGGCAGCUUACCAAGCAAUAACUGACGCUCAUGCACGAAAGCGUGGGGAUCAAACA
rnacentral:rRNA from 1 species